rnacentral:lncRNA from 1 species
AUGUUGAGAUGCACACUGGAAAACCGGAACGCUCAAACCAAGCAACUGCAAGCAGCUGUCUCAAAUAUGGAGAAGCAUUUGGGAGAACUGUGCCAAGUCUUUGCUGCCUAUGUGCGGAAAACUGCCAGACUGCGAGACAAAGUGGACCGAGGAUGAAUGAAAUCAACUCAUAUGCCGCUACAGAGGCCCCACAUCUAAGGCUGGGCCUGAUGAACUUUGCUGAUGAGUUUGCCAAACUUCAGGAUUAUUGACAAGCAGAGGUUGAAAGACUUGAAGCCAAAGUAGUUGAACCCUGGAAAGCUUAUGUAACCAUUGUAAAAAUGAAACGGGAUGACCCCAAAGCAACAUUCACAGCAAGGAAUCGAGAAGCUAAGCAAUUAACUCAGGUAGAAGGAACAGGUCAGCGAAACCCACCUCAUCUGAUCGACAUGUUAUUCAAAGGCAGACACAGAAUUACAAAGAGCUGCAAUGGAUGCAACCCGAACAAGUCAUCAUCUGGAGGAAACUAUUGACAACUUUGAAAGGCAGAAAAUAAAGGCUAUAAAGACUAUAUUUUCCAAAUUUAUCACAAUCAAAAUGUUAUUUCACAGCAAAGCUUUAGAGGUCUACACAGCUGCCUACCAGAAUAUACAAAAGAUUGAUAAGCAUGAAGAUUUAGAUUUACAUGUUUUCCUAAAUUCCCUGUAUGCACCAGAUUAUUCAUCUCGUUUAGAUAUGGUAAGAGCAAAUUCAAAGUCACCUCACCAGAGAUCAUGUCAGCUAAGUGUGUAUCUGGAACAGGACAGGUAUCCACUACCAACUAAGAAAGGAUCAGCAAGCAGAUGAUAAUGAGGAUGAAGAGUCAGAUGUUACAGAAGAAGACAAUUUUCUCAAGUAA